GACCUACGGGGGGCAGCAGUGGGGAAUAUUGGGCGAUGGGCGCAAGCCUGACCCAGCAACGCCGCGUGAAGGAAGAAGGCCCUCGGGUUGUAAACUUCUUUUAUCAGGGACGAAACAAAUGACGGUACCUGAUGAAUAAGCCACGGCUAACUACGUGCCAGCAGCCGCGGUAAUACGUAGGUGGCAAGCGUUAUCCGGAUUUACUGGGUGUAAAGGGCGUGUAGGCGGGAGAGCAAGUCAGACGUGAAAUUCCAGGGCUCAACCCUUGAACUGCGUUUGAAACUGGUCUUCUUGUGUGAUGGGGG
rnacentral:rRNA from 1 species